UACGGGGGGAGCAAGCGUUGUUCGGAUUUACUGGGCGUAAAGGGCGCGUAGGCGGCGCAACAAGUCACUUGUGAAAUCUCCGGGCUUAACCCGGAGCGGUCAAGUGAUACUGUCGUGCUAGAGUGCGGAAGGGGCAACUGGAAUUCUUGGUGUAGCGGUGAAAUGCGUAGAUAUCAAGAGGAACACCUGCGGCGAAGGCGGGUCUCUGGGCCUUACCUGACGCUGAGGAGCGAAAGCGUGGGGAGCGAACAGG
rnacentral:rRNA from 1 species